AACGAACGCUGGCGGCACGUUUUAAGCAUGCAAGUCGAACGGUAGGAAUCCUUCGGGAUUCUGAGAGUGGCGAACGGGUGAGUAACACGUAGAUGAUCUACCUUUUAGUUGGGGAUAGCCCAUGGAAACAUGGAGUAAUACCGAAUAAUCUCUUUAAGCUUUGGUUUUAAGAGGAAAGCGGCGUUUGCCGUGCUGAAAGAUGAGUCUGCGCACUAUUAGCUAGUUGGUGGGGUAAUAGCCUACCAAGGCGACGAUAGUUAGCCGACCUGAGAGGGUGAUCGGCCACAUUGGGACUGAGACACGGCCCAGACUCCUACGGGAGCAGCAGCUAAGAAUCUUCCGCAAUGGGCGCAAGCCUGACGGAGCGAUGCCGCGUGAAUGAAGAAUGCAGAGAUGUUGUAAAAUUUCUUUUUUAUGAGUGAGGAAUAACU
rnacentral:rRNA from 1 species